rnacentral:rRNA from 1 species
UACGUAGGGCGCAAGCGUUGUCCGGAAUUAUUGGGCGUAAAGAGCUCGUAGGCGGCUUGUCACGUCGGGUGUGAAAGCCCGGGGCUUAACCCCGGGUCUGCAUUCGAUACGGGCUAGCUAGAGUGUGGUAGGGGAGAUCGGAAUUCCUGGUGUAGCGGUGAAAUGCGCAGAUAUCAGGAGGAACACCGGUGGCGAAGGCGGAUCUCUGGGCUAUUACUGACGCUGAGGAGCGAAAGCGUGGGGAGCGAACAGG